AUUCGUAAGAAAGCUGCGAAGCGUCUGCAUGCUCUACGAUUAUUAAAGAGAUCUUCCAUUCCAUCAAGCAAGUUAGUGCGAGUGUUUAAUACAUGCAUUAGACCAAUUUUAGAAUACUCGUGCGAAGUAUGGCAUCACAGUUUGCCCCAGUAUUUAAGUGAUCAGAUCGAAAUGAUCCAACGCAGAGCUCUACGAAUAAUCUUCCCAGAUUGUUGUUAUGAUAUUGCAAUGGACCGCGCCGAUGUGGUAUCAUUAUUCAUACGGAG